rnacentral:lncRNA from 1 species
CCGUACCAAUUACACUGUGAUUGACAGGCAUUUUCUGAAGUCAGCAGAGGCCAGGUCCUCUCAUCCAAUGAGGCUCUUGACAUACAAUGAAAAACAACUGAGAAUUACUGAAGUAUACUUGAGUCUUCACAUAGGAUAUUCAGACCUAGACCUGUGUGGGAAGAGGAAAUGGAAAUGCUGUCUCCAUAAGAUUGGCCUGCGGGGAAGUCUGUGGCGUGUGGUCUUGAUUAAUGACUGAUGUAGGAGGACCCAGAUCACUGUGGGGGGAGCUAUCCUUUGGAUAGGUUUUCCUGGCUUGGAUAAGAAAGCAAGCCUUCCUCUACAGCUUCUGCUUCAGUUCCUGCCUCCAAGUUCCCACCUUGCUUGUGUUUCUGUCCUGGCUUCCUCCAGUGAUGGACUGUUGUUACCUAAAAGUGUAAGAUGAAAUAAACCCUUCCCUCCCC